UUACCAAGAUGAAUUCGACGGCAAAAACUAAAGCAAUCAAAUGCAAUAAUGGAUCGAAUCUCUCUAAAUUUGUGAAUGCGCAUGUCUUGAAUUUCAACUGCAAAAGAUGUAAGAGAGAAACAGUUAGAAAUUUUAUCUCAAAACGGGGGGGGACAGAGAGAGAGAGAGAAGUCGAUGCUUACCUUAAAAGGCGUACGAUGUAGAUCCAUGUCGCCAAAAGAAGAAAGGGAAGAAGGAAAGGAAAAACACAAACCAAUCAAGAAGCAGACCCACCCCCCUCCACACGCUUACUUUCACCACGCCCCGCCCACAGUAGACCCAACAUCGUACUUGAUCCUCGUCUUUUCUUGAUUGCUCGCUCUGCAGGCAGGGAGAGAGGUAGAGAGAGAGAGCGAGAGAGAGAUGACGAGGGGUAAGCAGAAGAUCGAAGCGCAGAGAAGGAACGCUGAGAGGAACCAGAAGGCCAAGGGGUCUCAGCUCGAGGCCAGGGUCGUCGGCCUCAAAGUCACCUGCCCCAUUUGCAAGGUGCAACUAGCAAAUCAGAAUCAACUUGGGGAUCAUUAUGCUUCCAAACAUCCAAAGGAGAAGCCACCUACUGACUCGAGCUGAUGGCACCUUUUGUUUGUAGAAAAAUCUGGAAACUGUGGAAAAAAAAUUGAUCCACAUGUAACAAGGGUCUAUGUGAAUCACAAUAAUUCGACUCGUAUAACUUGGUGCUGCUUCUGCAAGUCUGUACUGCAACUGCAUUUGAACUAUCGCGUUGUUGCUUUUGCCUGGUUGCGUGGAGUCAGUAUUCGUAUCAUCCACAAUGGCAAUUUCGUAUAUAAUACUUUGAAAGCGAUGAUCUCUGGAGAAA